UGUGUAAUGCGAGCAUUGUAUGGUCACAACUCCAUAAUUAAAAACGCAGAGUGCACA
rnacentral:ribozyme from 2 species